UCCAUGUGAAGCGUGAGCCAGUGAAACCUAAGUCAUGCAUACCUAUAUGAUGUAGGCAUUCCAGAAAAGCAUUUAUUCUGGUAUUAUUGAUUGGGUUGCCUCCAAACUUUUCGGAGCCAGUUGUUACACUACAACAAAAAUUGCUUUUACCGACCAAUAUUUAGCGGCAAUAAACUAAUUGCCGCUAGUUUAAUGUUAUAAGUAAAAUCUUUACCAGCAAAUGAUUGAUAGACGGCGAUAAAUCCUUUCACUGGCAAUUGAAAUAUUUGGCUAGUAAUAGUUAUGUCGGGAAUCACCAAUUUUUCAUCUUCCCUCCAAUCUUUUCCUCUGUUCCCUCCACUUUUAUACAUCAGAGAGAUUUUUCUUUUCAAAUACUUAUUGCAAUCUCUCUCAACUUAUGCUUCCACAUCAGCCCAAAAAUAACUCUCCACCUCGCUUUAUCUCCCUCACGUCUCUCUCCCCCCUAUUAACAAAAUAAUAGUAACACAUAGAAGAACAAUAGCUAUCUUCUUCUAUCCUUAUAGAUUUACUUCAGGGAGAAACUAUGUAGUCCUUGCCAAAGGGGCGGCUGGAGUUUCAGAAACCCUAUCGCUCUCCUUCCUCGGUUUGAUUUUCCUUCUAGUAUCCUUUUCGAUAAACCUGUAAGUUGUAAAUCUUCAUCUUGUUAACUCGAUAUUAGUACGUUUAUGUAAAUUGAUUUUUCUUGAUGUAUUCCUUUGUAUGUGUUCUUCAAAUAGUCAAUUUUUUUUUUUAUUUGGAAGUUACGACUCGGAUCUCUCUUCUUCGCUUCCUCCUCUCCAUGAAUUCCAUCGCCACGGCGUAGAGUUUUUCUUGGAAGUUGCUGAUACUGGUUCGCUUUUUUGCUGUUAUUUUGUUUCAAUAUUAAUUUGUUUUCCUUUAACUUAGGUAUUAAUUUGAAUGGUUGUAUUGUUGUUUUUAUCUGUGGGAUGUUCGAUGAUAGACUUUGUUCUCGUGCAGUGGGAUUGGAUACAAUGAGUUUCAAUAUAUUAUGGAAGAUGGUCCAAUAAAAUCUAGAUUUUUCUUUUUCUGUGUUCAUAGGAAACUACUUUGCAAUACAUAGACCUUACUGUUUGAGAUUAUUCUUUAUUUCUAUAAGUUAUGUCUCUUUUUUAUAGUGGAUUAUAAUAAGCAUACAAUCAAUAUUGUAUUUUUACUUAGUGUCACUGCUCUGAAAUAUUUAACUUUCUCAUUGAUUAUAAAAGUGAUGUCCAAAGGUUUUAUAAUUUAUAAUCAGUUUCUCAUGUUGUCAUGCUACUUGUGUUUCCUUAGUUUUAGACCGGAUACUUCUAUCUGUGAUUGGAAGUUCAUUAUUUUCAGGUUCAUCAUUCAUACCUGCACCCCAAUUUGCUAAAAUAUUGUGUUGUUUUGCAAGCAAUCAUUAAGUGAAUUGAAUUAUGUACAGAGUUAGUAAGCGUAUUCCUCCAGAAAAAUUACAUCAACCGUGAAUUGGAUGGAUUGUCUAUAAUCUACUUGAGCAAACAAUGUGUUGUAUUUGCUUGUCGUUUUGGGGAUGGAGUAAGCAAGCAGAAGGGAACUGCAACAUGAAGAUGAGGAAAAGGUUUUCAUGAAUAUACCUUUCUAAAGAAGAGAUACAAAGGGCCUCUGGCAUAUGUAGGAAAGAUAAAAGGUUAUUGUAGCUUCACUCCAAAUUCUUGGAACACUGGUUUCUUCUUUUGCUUU